UGCGUCUCAGUUUGCCUCAGACUUAAGUGGCUGGUGGAAGUGAGAGAUCUCUAAAGAUUCACCCAAUCCCAUUGUUCUAAGGUAAUAAAUCCUAUAAUUGCUGUAUCCUCAGAACCCAGCACGGGGCACUGCAUACGGUAGAUCUGCUUAACCAUGUACCAAAUGCAUCCGCCUCUUCCCCAACAUCCAUUACUACUGGAACCCACCAAGAACUGAAUUCCAUGGUACUUCUCAGGAUUCUUGAGGUCUGGACUAAGCCCUGGAUUGGGAAAGACGUGUUUAUGAUGCAGACCAGUUGGGGAGAUUUUUCUUGAAGGAGCAGCAGCUUGGGAAUAGCUGACCUGACUCUCCCAGACUCAGACAUCUGCGGCCUACUGGACACGUUCCCUUGGAACUGAUGCCCCAGUGAUUCUGCUGCCUCUGCCAGAGUCAGAAAACUGUGGAUGUGGGAAGCUGCCCGUGGAGUCAGGAAGUCAUCCCUACUGAUGGAGCCUCUGCAGCCACCUUGGUCCUGGUCCACACCAGCAAUGUUGAUGCUGCCCUGCAGCCUGCCUAUCCCCUGGCUUAAUUCCGGCUCCAUGCAUGUGACGAGCAGAAAAAAGAAAGUCGCAUCUGGACCUCCGGCGGCAAGGGAGUCUGAGAAAGAUAGAUCUGUGCAUGGUCAUCUUAACCCUCCUGUAUCCUUAAAGCCCAGCACCAGGUCAAGUAUGCAGUGGGCACUCAGUAGUUGCAUGUUAAGUGAAUCGAUGAUUCUAGAAAAGAAAAUUUUGUUUACUGGCUCUUCACCUUUAGCAGGAAGUAAAUUCUCAACGGGGCUUUGGCUCGGAAAGAAUAUGGACCUGAAUGCUUUUCUCUUCCCCUCUCCUGUCCCUCCCUCCUCACUUCUCCUUUCUCCUCUUCUCCUCUCCUCUUCUCUCCCUUCCUCUGUCCCUUUUUGUCCCUUUCCUCCUCCCUCCCUCCUUUCCCUCUCCCUCUGUGUCAGCUUCCACCACCAGGAAACCAGCUUCUCCUGAGAACACACAGGGGGACCCUUCAAACUCAGUGUACAACACAGCCUCUUGAAUUCUGUGCAUUGCCUCUUUUAAUUAAACCCCUCCUUUCAGGAAGUCUCUCAAGGCUAUAAGCUUAUCAGAUCCUGAUGAGCACGUCAUCAAAGCUCCAAUCUGGUAUUAAUGGGAAAUGGCCUUUCCCUUCAGGGAGGGCCAAGCUUCUGUCCUUGGGAACCACUGCAUUCUCCUUGCUGGGAGGACACGUGGAUUUCCCCUCAGUGCUCUCUAGGGUGCUGCAAGCUGGCAAAGUUCACCUGCCCUUUUCAAAAUAUGAAAUACAUGCCUAAUUUCCAACAUCAUUGUGUUCCAUUUUCCCUGAUAACACCUUAACAGGGGCUUUAAUAACUGCAUUCUGUGGAAAGAGACACUGGCGCUGUGCUGUUGGCUCUAGGUUGUGAGCUGGGGCCCUGGCUGUGAGCCCUUGGAGGAAUCCCUUUACCUCUCUAUUCCAGGUUAUUCAUGUUUAAAAUGAAGUUCCUUAACUGCUCUCAGUUCUUCCCAGAAUUCAUGUAAUGAGUUCUAAGUGUCAGUUCUGCUAGGUCUAGGGAGAGGGAUGAAGCCUCUACAUGAGCCAGCCUGUGUUGGUUGGGGCAGAGCCUAGAGAUCCCUGGUUCAGUGAGGCUCCUGCACUAGGGAAGGGACCUCUGAGCUCCUCUUCUCGUGCCAAGCCCAUCUCCGCUCAUCCCAUGCUGACUGCAAGAAUGGUGUUUGCUCAAUGGUCAGGGAAGUGGUGCCCAAGAGCAGGAACCUGGCUUCACUCUGUCUCUCCUCUGGGCAUCAAAGAGGCAGUACCUGCUAGGACCGUCUCUUCCUUUCUAAAAUCAGGAAGUAACAAAAGGCAGGCUGGGAUUGCCCAUAGAUACAGCUCCGUCUUUCUCUCUCUCUCCUGAAACAGCCUGCAGACAUUCCUGAGUUCUUGUGCUGAGAUUAGGUUCAUUGUCAAACCCAAACCCAUUUGUUUUAAAGCCAGUUGUGCAAAAAUAUAUUAAAAAGCAAACAUGCGCAAACCAGAAGCCAGGGUCGGGGUUAUUGAGUGUAGCUUCGAUAUUAAUAACAUGAAAUAGAGUUCCCAGUCUCCCAAUUUCCCAUCUGAAUGGAGCUCUUUCAAAGCCCAGGAAGGCAGAUGGGAUGCACAGGGCAGGAUGGGCCCCUUCCAGGGUUUCUCAGUCCAAUGCCAUCACAGAGGAACUUGAAUGUUAUUUCUGGCAGUGUGGACUGGCUUCACACAGAGAUGAGGUGGCAGACGAUGAGGGACUUCCUGGCCAUAUUAAUGUGUAGAAUGCCUCUAAGCCACACAGGUACAAAGUGAGGGUGGAAACAUUAUUUCUAGCCCUUGGAACUGAUAGAAAAAUACUCCUGACAAAGAAUACAGGGAAUACUGCUGGUGGGACUCAGUAUAAGGUCACUUUGCUGGAAAGUAACAGAGAAUAAAUAAAAUUGAUUGAGUGCCUAUUAUGUGCUUGAAAUCACUUUACAUGCUGGGGCCACAGCAGUUGUCAAAAUUGUUGGAAAUCUCUGCCCUCAUGGAGCUCAGAGUCUAGGGGAUUUUUAAAAAUCACAGGCUGGGCAGAUACUGAAGCUGGCUUUGGGGCCAUUCGGAACUAAAGACUUGAAUUCUAACAAGAUUUCUGUGAUUCAGUUUCUUGCUGUGUCUUGGAGUCAUUUCCUCCAAGCACCUUCUGUCUCUACCUCUGUCAAGAAGAGGACAAAAUAGCCACCAUCCACAUUCUUGUCCCCAGACUGAUGAAGAAGAUGAUAAAAGGGAGGCUUUAGUUGGUAAGCAGAAAGGCACCAUGUAAGUGACAGGCUUACAUCUUGUAUGAAAUCAAGUGGGCAAGAAAGCUUCUGCUCAGGUGGGUACAGCCCCAAGGAGGCUGAUAGGUGAGCACUCUUAGGAACAUGGGCUUGCAGACUUCCCAGUGAAUGCUUCCUUGGGCUGUCAUUUGAACCUAAGAAGAAAGCACAGUUCAAGAAAGAUGAACACAUGUAGCCAACCUGAACUGAAACCAAGAAGGAAAGGAUCAGUCAAAUAGCUGUCUCCUCUGGGCUUGGCUGCCUGUCCUUGGAGAUAAUACUGGCACGUAGCAAGAACUUCCACCUGCAGCAUCCACAGCACAUCUCCAUGGGCCUUAGCAAGAUGCUAUGCAACACGGCUCUUUUCCAGUAUCCUAAUUUUCUGUUCAUAACAUGUUGGGUCUUUGGGAAUCACCAUUAUAAUCAUCAUAAUGUGUUGGGUCUUUGGGAAUUACUGUCAUGAUCAUCAUCAUCACCACCACCACCACCACCAACAUCAGUUUUCCUGGUCUCAUCUUCAUGAUCCUGUUUCAUUUCUUACUACUUCAAACAUUCUUUUUUCCUUCCCUAUGCCUGGAACAUCCUCUGCUCAUUUCUAAUCCCAGAUCUUUGCUUCAGCUGUGGCUCCCUGCACUCCCUGCCUGGGGAAUGCCCCAUGUACCCCCUUUUUCUUGCUAAAAUAUUACACACCUUCAAGACCAUCUCAAGCCCCCCCUUUCAGGAAGCUCUCCUCUAUCUACUCAUGCCCUCCGGUACCUGAGUAUUUGCACAAUAUUAGAACUUAAACAUUCAUCAUUUUAGUCUACAUUCCAGCAACUCUGUAAGGUUGGAAUCAUUUCCUCCAUUUUAUCGAUGAGAUAACAGGUUCAGAGAGGCCGGGUAUUGCCCCAGGAGGAAGGAGCUGGAGCCCCCACAGCUGUGUCUAUUCUACUCUGCCUUGGUGUGCUUGCUUUCCCAGGAGCACACCAGAUGUUGAGAGCAGUAGUUCUCAAACUUCAGGGUGCAUGUACAUUACCAGGGACUGUUUGGCAGACGUUCUGGGGUGGGGAACAAACAUCUGUGUGUGGUUCACCAACGGUCCCUGGUGACUAUGGUUUUAUGGCUGGUCCUGUAGCCAUUUGAGAACCGUUGCCUUCAGAGGUGCACGUAGUCCCAUAACUGAAGAUGUGGCUCCCUGAGGCUCCUGGGAAGCCAACCGCCUCCCCAGACCUACAGAAUGGGAAUGGAAAUCUCCGGGUGUGGGGGUGGGGGCUGGAGGGGGUGGGCCUGGGAAUCUCUAGCUAAGAGCCUCAGGGGUUUUUUAUCAUCUGGCAAGUUUGGGAAAGCUGACUGAGAGUCAGGCCCAUCCAAUUAGCACUUAAUUGUAUCCUGCUUUAUCUUCUUCCCCAAUUAGUUCUUCUGCAUCAGUUAAGCUCCUUGGAGGCCCAGACAACAGCACUUAAUUCAGCAUUGCCCUGAGAGCUGGCAUGGUGCUGGCUAGGUGACUGGCAUUAUGGAAAACUGACUGCAUCUGCUUUAGGAAGAGAGGCAUGUCCAGAGUGGAAAUUCUGGAAGCUCCUUGCAAAACUAAUACCUGGGCUUCUGCACCUCCCCAGCUUGAUGUCUGCUCUUAUCCCUCAUCUCUGCAAAGCCAGGUGCUUCCUCUUGCUUAAAGACCAGCUCAAGGCUCUCUUAUUCCAAGAACUGACUCCAUUACCUCCAGCUAGAUAUAAGCCCAUGGGUCUGUGGAUCCUUCUGAUGUGAAUUUACCUGGAUUUCUGUUUUUCACGGACAGAGGGCUUCAGGAAAGCUCCUGGCCUGACAUGAUGCUAGGCACAUAGUAUUGCUCUUUCCUUCCUACAUCCUCUUCUAGGGAGGGCAUCUUAUCCACCUUGAACAUUCCUACCAUGGAAAACAGUGGCUUGCACAUAGCACAAGGUCAGUUAAUAUUUUGGAUUCCUACAUAAGUCUCAGAGAUGUUAAUAGGAAUUACCAUCUUGUUGCAAUGAAUGUGAGCAAGUAUGUGUUGUGCACAUAAAUUAUCCCACUCCCGCCAAAGGACUAUGUUACUCUUUUUCAAUUACCCAAGCAACUACUCCAGUGCCUUAUGCAUGAUUACCUUCUCUAAGUAUUUUCUUUCUAAAUUAAUACAAUUAUUAACUUCUCAGGGUGUGAACUGUAAAGGGGAAAAUGUGUGCUUCUCUGUUUAAAACAUUAGUAUCUUUAUUUUAAAUCUACUCCAGACUUGCCCAGACUCCUUCACUACUCAGAGUCUCUGAGCAUCGGCUUCCUUAACAUUCAAAAUGGAAAUGAUAAUAAAAACUUUGCACAUCUCUAAAAAUCUCUGAAAAAAAAAAUUUGUCACAUUGAACACAUAAAGCAAGCACUGGAUAAAUUGUAGCUGCAUGGUAUAGUACAGACAACUUGAGACAUAGAUGGAAGGCAGAGCCUAUAUUUUAUUCCUGCCAAACAAAAAUUAAAACAAAGGCAUUAUAAGAACCCAGUGUUGGUGACAUUUGUGAUGGAACAGGCACACUUAUUUUGGAGGCCUGUUUAGCAAUGCUUACCAGGAGUCAUAAAUAUUUUCAUAUACUUUUACCACCGCACAGCAGUUCUAAGAAUUACUACAGGAGAAUGAUUUUUAGAGAGGAACAAGUUAAAUAUAGGCAUCAGUGUAAUUUACAAAGGUGAAAACAAAAAGUAACCUAAAUGCACAUGAAUGGGAGCAAGGUUACAUAAAUUACAGUGCAACAAUGUAAUGGAAUAUCUCACAGCAAUUAAGAAGGCUAAAGACAAAUCCCAGGUAGAAACAUUUAGUGAUUGAAAAUAAUAAGUGUAAUGGUAAAACACAAUUUUAUGUAUACUUUGAUUAAAAUGAUUCAAAAUGAUAUAUUUACUUACAGCCGUGAAGAAAAGAAUAAAGACAUGAACAUGUUUGCUGUGUUAUAUUAGUGAAAUUAAAUUUAUUUUAUACAUGCUAUAUAUGUAUGUAUACAUGCAUGUGCGUAUGUAUGUAUACAUUUAUGUAAAUAUAUAGAUGCAUGAAUACACAUAUGUAUAUGUAAAUAUGUAUAUGUACAUAAAUGUGUAUGUACACUUAUAUAGGUGUAUAUGCAUGUACAUAUGUAUGUGUAUAUGUAUAUGUGUAUAUCUACAUAUGUAUAUGUGUAUAUAUACCUUUAUGUACAUAUAUAAAAAUAUUUUAAUUUUUAUUUUAAAUACUUUAUAUAAAAUUUACACACACAUCUAUAUCUAUAAAAGUAGAUAUAUGUAUAUAUCUGUAUACAGAUAUAUAUGUAUACAUAUAUACAUAUAUACACAUAUAUACAUAUAUACAUAUCUGUAUACAGAUAUAUAUACAUAUAUAUCUGUAUAUAUGUACAUAUAUACAUAUAUACAUAUAUAUGCAUACAUAUAUACAUAUAUGCACAUAUACACAUAUAUGUACAUAUAUGCAUAUAUAUACAUAUAUACAUAUAUACACACACAUAUAUAUAUACAUGUCUACUUUUGAAAAUCUUCCUAAUAGUUCUGCAAGGCAGGUUUUAGUACCUUGAGGAAACAGGUGACAAUAUUUUACUAAAUCACAUAUCUAACAAAAGUUAUCAUAAGCCUUCAAAUGAACCUUGGCCCACCGGCCCCCAAAUCUUUGCUUUUUAAAAUUAUUCACAAAUUGUUUUCCAAUGUGUGUACAUUUGAUGUUGGUUUCUUUUGAUAACUCAUUUCCAAUAAGACCUUAUUUUAUAUUACAACAAUGAAGAUAGAUAAAUAAAUACAUCAAAAUAUUUAUUAUGUGUACUACAUACAUUUUAUAAUUAAAAUGUGCUAGAUUGUUACCUUGUUAGCUCCAAUCAACCACCUCCCAGUAUUCACAGUUUUGUGUAGUCCCAUUUCACAUAGGCACUAGACUUGGCUAUGUGAUGUGAUGUGUUUUGGCCAAUGGGUCAUUGGCAAGCUUGAAAUAAGAACUUCAUAAGUACUUGUGAGUUAAGGUUUGUCCUGUUAGAAGCUAGUCACCAUGCUAUCAAGACACCCAAGCUAGCUGCAUGGAGAUGAUGCAGGAUUUUUCUUGAUCCCUUUGCCAGCUGGGGACCUCCAGCCAGCAAUGACCCUGCCCAGGCCUCACUUGAGCAUGCUACCUGUUGCAGGAGGUGGCCUGCCCACCCAGCCCACCUGGGCUGCACCUGAAUUGUGAACUGGCUUAGCCCGAAGCUGGGCUGGGCAUGCUCUAGCUCACCUGUGUUAUAGCUCAUACCUGUGUUCAGUGGUUCCUGAGUUCUUGUCCCGCGUCCAAGAAGAAUGAGGAUAUGCUGACAAUUGAAGGGUGAGGAGAGCAGAGAAGAAUUUUAUUGAGUGAUGGAACAGCUCUCAGCAGAGAGGGGAUGUGGGGGUAGUCCCCCACCUGAAGUUGGGUGGUUUCUCUUCCAGUGUAGCUGAAUCUGAGGCUUUUAUGGACUCAGAAUAGGGGAGUGCAUGCUGAUUGGUUUGUGAAUAUGCAAAAAUGGUUAAAACAAAGGCACCACUCAAAUGUGGGCAUGACAGUGUAAAUAAACCAAUUAGGGAAGGGUAGGUAUAUGUAAAAUAGGUGAAGGGUGAGGAUCAAUCAGAGGAAAGCAUGCCCAACAGGAAGAUAGAUUCUCAGUCUGGUCUGUGGAUUUGACUUGUAGUUAGGCUUAAACUGUCUUUGGCUUGGAGAUGGGGUUUCACCAGGGACACGCCCCUAUCUGCCUAUGCAUUUGUCUGCCUCCUGCCACUAUCAGAGAGGCCACAGAGAAGAGAAUUGAGGCUUCCCAGAAAAGAGCCCUGAUGAGGUCCCCGCUCACAAUAUGGAGAGAUCGUUUAGGAUUACCAGCCCCUUUGAAGCCUCCAGAAAAUCACAGCUCUGUUAGUAAUUUUUGUGGACUCCAUGCAAAGAAAAGAAUCAUUUAAUGAGCCCAGUCAACCCAUAGAAUCAUGAGAAAUAAUAAAUCUUUGUAGUUUCAAAGCGCUAAGUUUUGGGAUGGUUUGUUAAACAGCAAGAGAUGACCAAUAUAUCAGACCUGAAAAAUUUAAAGCACCAGGAAAAUUUUAAAGUACCAGGAAAAUUUUAAAGUACCAUCCUAGCACAUAGUAGAUGCUUAAUUAAAAUGUCUAUGAAGAAGAAGGGGUCAAUUCUGUCACUUGGCAUUCAGAUUCCCUUUUUGCUCACUAUAGCCUUCCACUUUAAGAAGAGAACCAACAUCCCUGUUGAACUGGAUUCAUCUGCAAACCAGGCCAGCAAUCCUGGCUCAGGCAGGCCUUCCAGGAGGGCAAACUGUAUAGUUCUAUAGCAAAGGGGGCAUUGUCCUUUCUGAAAUGCCAGAUCCUUUAUAAGCUGGAGAGUUACAGUCACUGUUUGGUAAUUGCCCUGCCCCCUGCUAGUGCUUCCAUUCUUGGCUCUUAUAAUAAAGUUCAGUCUCAUGCUCAUUUUUUAUCUUCCUAAAUGGGGCCUGCCAUGGAGCAGCCAUUUGUAUUACGAUCUUAGGCAACCAUGACUGUUCCCAGCCACAGCAUCCCUAAUGCCACUGCCUUAGUUCAGACCCGUAUCAUUUCUCCCCUGGAUAAUUACAACAGCCCCUAACAAGUCUCCUAGCAUUUUGGCAUACACUCCUCUAUUCCAUUCUCUGUAGCAGGCAGUAGGCCAUUUCUAAAGUACAAACUAAAUCAUUUCACCAUGCUUUUUAAAACCUUCCAAUAGGCUCCCCAUUGCCUCAAAGCAAAAUUUCUCAGACUGGAUUAAUGAGUGAGUGUUCCACAGGGUGUGGGCUAGGAAUGAGAAUAUAGUUUAACACAUUUGGGAAACCCUGGGUUAAACAUGGUUAACCAGGUAUUUUUGUGUGUUUGUUACAGGAUUUCUCAGAGCCUUUAAUAUGCUGAUGCAAAUUGUGAAUCUUAUCACAAGAGUGAUAUAAAAUCAACAUUUACCAAACUUGCUUUCUUGGCAGACUAUCUUUGGUUCCACUGAGUUGCAGUUUAGAAUUUUUCAAGUAUUUCCAAGUCCCUUAGUCUGGUAGACAAGUUUCUUCAUAAUCUGACCCCUGCUUAUUUCUUCAGCACAAGUCUCUACAUUUCUCCCAGGUCCUUGCUUCUUGACAAUUUGGUUCCUAUGUACCUGCUUUCCUUUAUCUAAAGUCAACCAUCCUGUUCUUUCAUAGCCCUGGUUAAUUCUUAUUCAUCCUUUGAAUCUCAGGUCAGUCUUCUCUCCUCUGGGAAAUCUUAUCCUAUCCCCACCAUACCUCAUCCCACCCCACCCUCCCUUGGGCUGAGUUAUACAUUCACCCUAUGACAUCCCAUGCUUUUUCCUAUUAUAUUAACUUUCACACAACCUUAGAGUUUCCUGCUUGUCUCUCCUUGUAGAUUGCAUGUUCCUUUGGGCAGGGCUGUCAGCAGGGCACUUAGUGUGCAUUCAGUAAGUGUUUCUUGAGUAAAUGAGUACUGAGAAAUAGAAUGCAUUUUGUGAAAACAGUUGUUGACUAAGAAUUUUCUGAAUGCAGUCACACUGAUAGUAGAUACCUUUUCAGGUGCCAAUCCAUCUAUGGUGUAAACAUGUCUCUUAUACUGACCAUACUCUACAGGUGUUCUCUGUGAUACUAUCUCCUGGGACCAUUUAAAUUCACAUGAAGAAAACUGAGCCGACCUGACUCAUUCUCUGAGGAUUCGAACUUAGGAAUUGUUAGAAGUUUAUUCAAACUGCAGAAUCAUAAACUGCAGAGCUCUGGUGGCCGUUUUGUGUAUGAGUAAAUGGGAGCGAUGGAAGCAGUUCUGUAGAAAGAGAGGGAGAGAAGUGAAGGGCAUUGGGCUACAGAUGUUCCUCGAUGUCCCAAUAAACCCAUCAUAGAGUUGCAUGAUGUUGAAAAUAUUCUAAGUCACAAAUACAUUUAAUACACCUAACCUACUGAACAUCAUAACUUAGCGUGCCUUCAGUGUGCUCAGAACACUUAGAUUAGCUUACAUUUGGGCAAAAUCAUCUAUUUAACACAAAGCCUAUUUUAUAAUAAAAUAUUGAAUAGCUCAUGUAAUUUAUUGAAAACUAUACUAAAAGUGAAAAACAGAAUGGUUGCAUGGGUACCUGAAAUAUGGUUUCUACCAAAUGUGUAUUGCCUUUGCAACCAUCUUAAGUCAAACCAUCAUAAGCUGGGAACUGUCUGUAUUUAGAAAAAAGCAAAGAUGGAGAGGUAUUCCUAACCCCCUGGGUUCCUAAUUUCUCACAGAUUUCUCAUUUCAGCACUAGCUGAGGUCUGGCUAUCAGCCUGUCACAGAGUUAGGAGUAUGUCAUCACAGUGAUUUUUCUUUCCCCUCCUCCAGCCUAUUUGAAGGAGGCCCUGUUAUGUGUUACCAAUAGGGUCUUUACUAAGCAAUGUCUAGUUUUUUUCCUUGAAAAACUUGAAAUGUGAAUGGCUCUCUCAACAUGCUUCUCUUUGUAACAGCCACAUUGUGAAUAUUAAUGGCAGUACUUAAGCAGGUCGAUUGUGCACUGAGAAUAUGAAAUAUGCAUGUCACUUAAAAACAAAUGAUUGUCCAUACAGUGCUUGGGCUGAAUUAUUCUCCCUCAGGUUGUCACACCUGAUGCAGAGGGAAGCUAAGGCAAUGCAUCUGUGCCAGACUUUAUAGAUCCCAAGGUCAGGAUCAAAAUGUGCAGAUUCAGGAAGAUGCUUUUUCACUAAUGAUUUGUUACCGUUAACUUGACGCACUGGGUGGAUUUAUAUAGAGAAAAAUGUUAAUAAAAUGUUCUUCGAGCUACAUUUCUGCUUUGCUGAGUUGUCAUUCCAUUAAGCAAAUUUGAGGCAAUGUAAUUGCUAUAAGAUUCUACAUAUUUGCAAAUGAAUUUGUGAGUUUAUUUGGGAAAUGAAUGGGUUUUAACUUGGCUUGUUGGACUAAUUUUAUUUUGCUGUUUCCAGGAGAUGUCCUAGCGAG
rnacentral:lncRNA from 10 species